GCCGGGCAUGAUGGCGCAUGCCUGUAGUCCCAGCUACUCGGGAGGCUGGGACAGGAGAAUCACUUGAACCCAGGAAGCUGAGGUUGCAGUGAGCUGAGAUGGCACCACUGCACUCCAGCCUGGGCAACAGAGUGAGACUCCGUCUCAA
rnacentral:SRP_RNA from 2 species